GUGGGAACGCGGCCGCGGACCUGGUACCCCAGAGCAGCGAGCGGGUGGGGAGCAGCCGGGGCGAGAAUGAGCGCAAUCUUGCUAACCCCUGCGGAGGGAGCGCGCGGGCGCCAACGCGGGCGCGCGGGGGCGGGCCCUGGACCUGGACCUUGGGUUUCGGCCCUCCUCCGCGCCCCGCGGUCUCGCGGGCGAAGUUUCAGUCCUGAGUGUAAAGAAUAACCCCAAGCGCGUGGCUAAGUGCGAGCAGGCGCGUGUGACGUCGGGAGGCGCCGCGGCUCCUCGGCCGCCCCACUCGGUGGUCCCCUGUCUGGAUCCAAACUGCUGACUGGCUGACCCGAGUGGUCACAUUUGCCCUCUGGGGCUUUUGAAAACCUUAAAUCAAAAUUGCUUUUGAAUCUGACAACUCCUGAGGCUACUUUCGCGGCCUCGGGGCUGUUUCAUAUAAGGACGCGAGUUUUCCUGAUCAGGAACAAAAACGGAGGCACAGAGAGGUCAAUUGAUUGGUCUAAUGACACAGAUCUAGCAAGUGGUGGAACCAGGACUGAAUCCAGAGAAUCUGGAAGACUACUCUGCCAAGACAUCUCAAAAAGUGUGUGUCCGGAAUUGGUGGGUUCUUGGUCUCACUGACUUCAAGAAUGAAGCCGCGGACCCUUGCGGAACUGUGAAGACUAGAGUGACCUUGGAGAUCUCAUCUGGAAGAUGGUAGAACUGCUAUCAGCCUGGCUUCCCAAAUGACCUCCUGGAUCACAGCUACCCAUGGCCUGAAAUGUUGACCUUGGAGUUGUUGCAUAGGAAAGAAAUAAACUUCUUUGUUCUUUGAGCCACAUAGUUAUCACAUAUCUUCUUAAAGCCACUUACCCACUUGUUCUAUCUCAUUCAGCUCUGAAAUUCUGUUUAAUUUCUAGAGUCAAAACAUUCAUUUGUUUCUUCUUUAUUUAACAAGAAUCAAUUACUUAUUUUAUGGAAGCCACUAUUCCAAAGAGAAGAAUCAUAAAAACAUUAGCCUUAUGGAUCUUUUGUCCUGGGAACAACACAGAGUGGAGACUACUGGAAUUUUUAAUAAAGUUCCUUUCCUGGGCAGUGCCAGUCCAGACCUAAUUUCCAGACUUAGUUAAGAUUAGACCAGUGUGCUGAAGAAUCAAAACAUCUAGAUAUUUUCCUUGCUCCAUUCUGCUUACAGCCCCACAAAAACUACUCACCCCACAGGGUUUCUUGCUUGAGAUUCCAGACAAUUCCUGUAUGUUUUAUUAGAAUACACUCUGUGUUUCAUCCAACUAGGAAGCCUUUGGCUCCGACUUAAAGCAUUAAGAACGGACCACUUUGGUAUGGAAAAUUAUCAGUUUUGGGGGAAAAGCCCCUGUUUCUCUGAUCUGUGCUCUGAAUUUGGCAGCUUUGUAGGCUUUCUCAAAGAGCCGCAACUGUGAACCAUGUCAUGUUGUCAUUAUCUCUGAUAUGCUCUGUGCAUUGGAAAUCCUGUGUGAGACUGGCAGGGGACAGAGGGAAUGAAGAAAUCACAUUCAUCAGAACAAGCUGCUCAACUUCCUUAAGUAAGGAGUUUGUCUAACAUCCAGUGGUUUCCUCUGACAGAGUGUGUACUUUCUUAACAUACGGACAAGAUUAGUACAUAGCCAGAAUGACUGUCUGCAGGUCCUAGGCUGCUUUUCAGAGGCAGCUUUAAUCUUCCUAAUUGAAUAUUUAGCUUUUCUAGGCCUGCACAAAAUGUAAAUCACAAUGUUUACAAUCUGUGAAAUAAUAGGAGAGUACAUAAUGUCAUUGCAAUAUUUUGUAAUCACUGUUAAAUGACUAAAAUCUAUUAAACUCAAUCAUUUUAAAUUAAACUUCUAAACUUCCCCA
rnacentral:lncRNA from 1 species